rnacentral:tRNA from 1 species
GUAGGUGUAGUUUAAAAAAACACCAGAUUGUGAUUCUGGAAAUAGAAGUUAAACUCUUCUUACCAACC